UACGUAGGGGGCCAGCGUUGCUCGGAAUUACUGGGCGUAAAGGGUUCGUAGGUGGUGCGGCAAGUUGGGAGUGAAAUCUCUGGGCUUAACCCAGAGGCUGCUUUCAAAACUGCCGUGCUCGAGUGCGAGAGGGGUCAGUGGAAUUGCAGGUGUAGCGGUGAAAUGCGCAGAUAUCGGGAGGAACACCGGUGGCGAAGGCGGUUCUCUGGGCCUUACCUGACGCUGAGGAGCGAAAGCGUGGGGAGCGAACAGG
rnacentral:rRNA from 1 species